GGAAUCUUGCACAAUGGGGGAAACCCUGAUGCAGCGACGCCGCGUGAGUGAUGAAGCCCUUCGGGGUGUAAACCUCUUUCGGCAGGGACGAUAAUGCCGGUACCUGAAGACGAAGCUGCGGCUAACUACGUGCCCGCAGCCGCGGUACUUCGUAGGCAGCGAGCGUUGUUCGGAGUUACUGGGCGUAAAGCGUGCGUAGGCGGUGUCCUAAGUCUGGUGGGAAAUCUCCCGGCUCAACUGGGAGGGUGCGCUAGAAACUGGGGUGCUGGAGUGUGGGAGAGGUAAGCGGAAUUCCUGGUGUAGCAGUGAAAUGCGUAGAUAUCAGGAGGAACACCUGCGGUGUAGACGGCUUACUGGACCACUACUGACGCUGAGGCACGAAAGCGUGGGGAGCAAAC
rnacentral:rRNA from 1 species